UUCCUUCGGGACACGAAAGCAAGGUGCUGCAUGGUUGUCGUCAGCUCGUGCCGUGAGGUGUUGGGUUAAGUCCCGCAACGAGCGCAACCCUUAUCACUAGUUGCCAGCACGUAUGGUGGGGACUCUAGUGGACUGCCGGGCGUAAGCCGCGAGGAAGGUGGGGACGACGUCAAAUCAUCAUGGCCUUUAUGCCUAGGGCGACACACGUGCUACAAUGGCGAGUACAGAGGGUAGCGAAGCCGCAAGGUGGAGCCAAUCUCAUAAAACUCGUCCCUGUUCGGAUUGAAGUCUGGAACUCGACUUCAUGAAGGUGGAAUCGCUAGUAAUCGCGCAUCAGCCAUGGCGCGGUGAAUACGUUCCCGGACCUUGUACACACCGCCCGUC
rnacentral:rRNA from 1 species